ACGAAAGAAUAAAAAGAAAGAACAAGAACAAGACAAAUGGUGGUAGUGGUGGAACAGAUGUUCGAUUCUUGCAUUGUCAUCAUCGUUUUU
rnacentral:ribozyme from 1 species